GUGGGUAGCUCAGUGGUAGAGCAUGUGCUUAGCAUGCACGAGGUCUUGAGUUCAAUCCCCAGUACCUCCA
rnacentral:tRNA from 1 species